rnacentral:rRNA from 1 species
UACGUAGGGGGCUAGCGUUGUCCGGAAUCAUUGGGCGUAAAGCGCGUGUAGGCGGUCCGGUAAGUCCGCUGUGAAAGUCCAGGGCUCAACCCUGGAAAGCCGGUGGAUACUGUCGGGCUCGAGUCCGGAAGAGGCGAGUGGAAUUCCUGGUGUAGCGGUGGAAUGCGCAGAUAUCAGGAGGAACACCGAUGGCGAAGGCAGGUCUCUGGGCCACUACUGACGCUGAGAAGCGAAAGCAUGGGGAGCGAACAGG